rnacentral:lncRNA from 1 species
AUGCUGCAGGCACACACCGCUCCCACCUCCUGCCUCAGUCGCUCUCAGGCCGGUACAGGUACUUCAUCAUCAGGCUGUCCACCUGCUUCUUGCGCCGCUUCUCCUCCUUCCUGGCCCGGUCGGGGCGCACCGGCUCCUCUCCCCCGGCCGCCCGCGGGCCCUUCUUCACACUGGAGGUGCUCCGGUAGGAGACGGUGGAACCAGAGGAGGAAUCAGAGGAGGAAUCAGAGCCCGACUCGGAGGACGACUUUUUCUUUUUCUUUUUGGAUUUCUUUUUGGAUUUCUUGGAUUUCUUCUUGGCGCUCUUCCUCUUGCGCUCCUCCUCUUCCUCCGAGGAGGAGGACGACUCCGNNNNNNNNNNNNNNNNNNNNNNNNNNNNNNNNNNNNNNNNNNNNNNNNNNNNNNNNNNNNNNNNNNNNNNNNNNNNNNNNNNNNNNNNNNNNNNNNNNNNGGCGGUCCUUCCUGCUCCGGGCCUCGUCGCCUCUUAAAGCUACAGCGCACCCCGAAAGCGGGGAGGGAGGGGUUGCACCCCGAGUGCCCGGCGGACGCAGGCGGUCACCUCUACCGCAAAUCCCCGGGAACCCCGAUGUCAAUCACCCGCACCCCUCACUCAUCAACGUGCCACGUUUUCUUCUAAAACACCAUUUUUUUUUAAUUAAUGAAACAACCAAAAGAUGGGCGAAGGGGCAGGGGCUCUGGAAGCGCAGGGUGAGCAUGUUGGCAGGGCUGCGGAUGACCUGGCCCCGCAGCAGGAAGGACUCGUUGGCCAACACCGCCGGCUCCAGGCCCCCUGCGCUCUCCACUGUCAGCGUCUCCCCGUCUGCCAGGCUGAUGUUCUGCACCUUUGGGGAUGGUGAGGUGUCACCACGCUGCAGGAUUUCCCGCAGUCGAUAGCGCGCUGGAGCUUGUCGGCGCGGGGCAGCGCCUUUCAAACACGCUUAGCAUGGCCAUAAAUCUCCCCGUGGCAUGGAGAGCAGCACAGCCCCGCAGCACGGCUGGGCCCAUGGCUGCCUGGCACGUGCUCCAGCGCUCCGGAGCAAUUUGCUGUUAAUGAUGUUAAUUAAGCAGUGCUGUGCGGUGAUGAACGGCGGCACCAGUGAGUGCUGCUCUGUGAGCUGGGGCUGAGCACGGAGCAAGCAGCAGCCUUGCGCCAAUGCAUUCUGCUCACUGUCAGCUAUUGGUGAUACCAGAUUGAGUGAAUGCUGUCGUUAAUUAAAUCCUAUAUUGCUGCUUCAUCAGCAGGUGCCGAUCACAGCAGCCGGAGGCCGAUGGGCAUUGCAUCUAACUCAUGCAUCCACGUCUCUUCUCCAUAAUCCAAGGGUGAGAGAUGCCUUGAGCUGGCUCACAUUGGCUCAUGGCACAAAGGUGGGGACAAGGAGAGGGACAAGACCCAAAGCCAUGUGUGUAGGACUCGUGCCCACCCCCCAACAUCUCACCUUGAUCUCCACACCAUAGCCAGGGUAGACAGAGAUGGUGUAGGUGCAGUCCAUGCUGCUGUCAUACGGGGCACUGGCUGGCUCUGGUGACACCAGCCAGCCCUCGGGACCCGCCAGUGUCCGGUUGCAUGGUGCUGGUGACAAGGAGACCCCCGUGUUAGCCCCACAUAUCCCUGAACCCCCAUCUCCCUCCCUGUGCUCACCUGGUCCCUGCAGCGUGGUGACGGUGGUGGUGGUGAUGGUGGAGGUAGUGGUGGUCCCCUCCUCAUCCCCGGAGACCCCAGUGACCCCCAAGGUGGGCGCUCGGCUGGGGGCUGCGGAGCUUGAUCCUGACCCCCCAGUAGGGGGCUGUGAAGGGUCAGUACCUGGCGCGACCCCCCAGGGCUCCCCCCACGGCCCCGAGCGCCCAGCUGGUGUGGUCAGUGGGGCGGUGGGGAAAGCAACCCUGGGCAAAGCGGGGGCACGUGGUGGGAUCUGGGGGGCUGGGGGUCCAGGGUCCGGCCUCAAGGCGUCGUCAGGCAGCACGGGGCCAGGCAGGCCGGGUGGGAAGGGCGCCUGGGCCAGGUAGUCCUUCUUCAGGAAGGCCUCGUGCAGCAGGUCCUCCAGCAGUGGGUGGUGGUUGAGCAGCUUCAGGGUGGGUGCCGUGCUGACGAAGUGCGCCUCGGCCUCGCGCUCAGCUGGUGUGGGGAGGGCUGUGGGGUCUCCUUCAGCCUCAGCGCUCUCACCUGUCUUCCUCUCCAGCCCAUUGAAGCCUGGGAAGGGAGAGAGUUGGGUGUGAUGAGGAGCAGUGCUGCACCCUCAUGCACCAGUGCCGCACCGUAGAGCGAUGCUUCAUUGUCAUCCAAUGCUGCAUCACAGACUGAUGCUCCAUCAUGAACCAGUUCGUCAUGGACCAGUGCUGGACCCCGGAUUGAUGCGGCAUUGAGCACUGGCACUGGACUGGGGAUCCUGGUGCUGUGUCACAGACCUCUGCUAUACCAUGGGCUGUGCUUCAUCGUGGAUUGAUGCAAAACCACAAACUCAUGCAACACCACGGACUCAUGCUUCAUCUGUAGCAAUUCUUCAUAGCCCAUUGCUGCACUGAUGCACUGAUGCAACACCAAGGACCUGUGCUGCACCAUUGGCUGAUGCUUCAUCAUGGACCAAUUCUUCAUCACAGAUCAAAGCUGCUUCGGGCACUGGGGCCCAGCAUUUCACCAUGGGGCCAUGUGCUGCCCUGAGCAUUAUCACAUCCCUGCGGGUCUAUGCUGCACACAGGGCUGGUGCUGCACCACCCAGGGCAGCGGUGUCGCCGGGUCCCACUGGCCAUGGUGCCAGGAGAGGAGCCGUGCCGUGCUGUGCCACGGAGAGGAGAGCUGCACUGGAGAGCUGUCAAUAAAGCUGAUUGCUUUAUCGAGGACACGUUCCUGGGUAAACAGGGACAGAGCAUGGACGGCAAACAGGCACAUCGACCGCAUGCAGCAGGGCUCCACCGCACCUCAGCGCAGCACACCCCUCACCAGAGAAGCCUGGGCAAUUAAGCAUGGCUAAUUAACUCACAUCUGCACCAGAGCUCACAUUAAGGUGUACCCACUCCUCCCGUGACACGCAGCAUCCUGACGCCUUGCCCAACGUCUCGCCAUGCGGUACCAUGCACCGGCACUGAUGACACGAUACUGCCAAUUACUGGGUAAUUACACCGAGCCGUAGCAGGGCAGGCCCCGCGAAGAUUAAUUACUCUGUGACUGCCACUUUUAAGGGACUAUUAAGAGACAUUAUCCCUGGAGAGUGCUGUGUGAGGAGCCACCAGGUGCAGCCAUCAUCCUGUCCCCCGUGCCACCACUGCCACCCCUCUGCACGCACACUGGCUCCAAAAGGGCAACCUGCCCCCUGGCACCACCAGAAUUAUUUUCUAAUAGGAUCCAUUUAUUAGAACAUAAAAGUUAAUGAGUUUAUACUGAAGGGCGCCAAAAUCUCUUUC